rnacentral:rRNA from 1 species
UACGUAGGGUGCGAGCGUUGUCCGGAAUUAUUGGGCGUAAAGAGCUUGUAGGCGGUUUGUCGCGUCUGCUGUGAAAAUCCGGGGCUCAACCCCGGACUUGCAGUGGGUACGGGCAGACUAGAGUGUGGUAGGGGAGACUGGAAUUCCUGGUGUAGCGGUGAAAUGCGCAGAUAUCGGGAGGAACACCUAUUGCGAAGGCAGCUCGCUGGGACGUUACUGACGCUGAGACGCGAAAGCGUGGGGAGCAAACAGG